rnacentral:lncRNA from 1 species
AGUUCUUUGGAGAAGCAGUGUGGAGUCCUAAAAAAGGAGGCUGAGUCUUACCGUUGAGGUCGGUGCCGGUAGAGAAUGGGAGGGAGUCUGCAGGAGCCAAGCACCCUAAAGAAGAGGAAGAGAGCACGUUGCUGAGAUUUGAACAGCGACCUGAGAGGUCAGACUGGACCCAGGCCUCCUCAAGAAGCAACGGAGAUGGAGAUUCUUCCCUUUUCCCGGCCCUUCGGUCCUUCUCCGGAAGAGCUACUCUGGCCAGCUCUGGGCUAGGGGCAGUGGCCGAAGAGAAGGGGAAAAGUCUUUCCGGAGCGCCUAGAAACCUAAAAAUAACACGCCACGCUGAAGGUCCGGAGAAGCCACCGGCCACCUCUACAGAGUGGGGAUGCUGCCCGUGAAAGGUCAUCACUUUCUUCACCCCGACAACCUGACAACAAAGCCCAAGCAGUUGAUCCUUUCCUUCCUUUGAGCCCAGGAUCCAAGCCCGAAAUAGAUGGGGAGGCCCCAACCCUACAGCCAUGAGGAAAAAGUGGUUCCUCGGUGACCACCGUGGCCACCGUGGCCACCGUGACUAUCUUUCGAGUUAGAGCCUUUGGUCAAGUCUAGAUGUCACACUUUAAAUGCCUUCCAAUGUUCCCCUUCUCGAGUCUAAUUUUUGCAAAGAAAUGAGAUGGGACCAUCAGACUCUGCCUAUGUUGCUGCCAUCUGGUGUGCGAGCAGUCUCCAGCUUGUGCUCCAGCUUGUGCUGAGAAGCACGGCUGCAGUACCUUAGGGGUAAACCUAUGAUGCCAACCCCACUCACCUCCGCCAAUACAGCUGCUGGAGCCUGUUGCUUUUUCACACCACAGAUACUUCAUGCUGCCUAAUAUUCUACCGAGCCAGCCUAGGGGACUUGGAUCUGUCUCGCCUGGGGCUAAGAGAAUAGUUUCUCUAAGAAGAAAACAGUUCUAAUUCAAAGAUGCUGGAUCUGGCUUCCUUUAAAGCCUGAAGUCGCUGAAGUGGCCAUAGAACUAUGGGGUCCAGAGGACUGCCAGUCUCAGCCAGCCUUUAGGCUGGAGAGAGGCUGUGGGCCUGCUUGGGGACUAAAAUGGAUGAAUAAGAAACCUGUAAGAAAUGUAAACAGAUGGAAUGGCAAGGAGGAGAGCGCUGGAGAUUGUUCAGGUGUGAGCUGAGGUUUCUGAGUUUGUACUGGGGAUGCCUUUGCACACAGUGAGGUGCCCCCUCCCUAAGUGGCUCUUGUUUUGCACAAACAGCCCCACCCUGCGCACACACUGUGGGUCUCAGUAGGGACUGAGGGUGUAGGUGCUCAGGUUUUGGGGGUGGUGGUGAAGGGGCACUCAGAAUCAACAAGACAGGGCGGGGAAAAUCAAAAUCAACCAAGGAACCAGCCUUCCAUUUCUGAAAAGCCGCGCUCUGGCCCCCGUGCUUCAGUUCUGAAAUACGAAUAAAUGGAGUCAGAUCCCGUACUACACUCCGGGGACAGAGUUUUAAUGUAAACGUAAAAUAUGCUUGUAAUAAUCACUUGUGGGCCCUGAAGCGCCACUAGAAUGAAUCUCUGUUUAAUUAUAGGGCAUGAGAGGAGUAUUACCAGCUAAUUAAACCCCAUCCUAUUUGUAAUUCCC